UACGUAGGGUCCGAGCGUUGUCCGGAAUUAUUGGGCGUAAAGGGCUCGUAGGCGGUUUGUCGCGUCGGGAGUGAAAUCAUCUGGCUUAACUGGGUGCUUGCUUUCGAUACGGGCAGACUAGAGGUAUGCAGGGGAGAACGGAAUUCCUGGUGUAGCGGUGAAAUGCGCAGAUAUCAGGAGGAACACCGGUGGCGAAGGCGGUUCUCUGGGCAUGAUCUGACGCUGAGGAGCGAAAGUGUGGGGAGCGAACAGG
rnacentral:rRNA from 1 species